rnacentral:sRNA from 1 species
GUUUGUGGUUCUUAGCUCUGAGAAGGUGAGGGCAGGGGCAAUAAGGUUACUAUGCCCCUAGAAUGAUGCCAUCAAUCCUGAGGACUUCCCAGAACCUGUCUACAAGAGUUUCCUCAUGAGCCUCUGUCCUCGGCCAGAAAUAAAUGAGAUCUUCACUUCUUACCAUGCUAAGGCCAAACCCUACAUGACGAAGGAGCACCUGACCAAAUUCAUCAACCAGAAACAGCGGGACUCCCGGCUUAACUCCCUGCUGUUCCCGCCAGCACGGCCUGACCAGGUGCAGGGCCUCAUCGACAAGUAUGAGCCCAGUGGCAUCAAUGCACAGAGGGGCCAGCUGUCACCUGAAGGCAUGGUCUGGUUUCUCUGUGGGCCAGAGAACAGCGUGCUGGCCCAGGACAAGCUGCUGCUCCACCACGACAUGACGCAGCCACUCAAUCAUUACUUCAUCAACUCGUCCCACAACACCUACCUGACAGCCGGCCAGUUCUCAGGCCUCUCCUCGGCUGAGAUGUACCGCCAGGUGCUGCUCUCUGGCUGCCGUUGCGUGGAGCUAGACUGCUGGA